UUUAAAGUGGCAGAAGUAUAAAUGCGUCGGAUUUAAGCUCCGGAGACGGGACCUAUAUCCCCUUUAAAA
rnacentral:tRNA from 1 species